ensembl:lncRNA
GGUGACGAGGAGCCCCUCUUGCUCAGCCCCUUUCCUUUGCUUUUGCCUUUCAGUGGGCUGCCCCUGCGGAGAAGAUGUUGGGGCCUUUGUGCUGAGAGUGGGCUGCCCCUGUGGAGAAGAAGCUGGGGCCUUUGUGGUGAGAGUGUGUUGCUCCUGCAGAGAAGAAGUUGGUGCCAUUGUGCUGAGAGGCAAAUGGACUGCGGGCCUCCCACACACAUGAUGGGUUCCCUGGGGUGCUGUGGACAUAAGUGUCCUUGUGUCACAGGGGUGUAGGUCAGGACACCCGGGCAUCCCAGGGUAUCGGGCUCAACUGUGCCCAAGAGCACCUCGAUGGUCCUUGGUUUGGGUAGUGGAUCUUCACUGUGCAACUGCUGUGGGGAGACCCUUGCAGGAAGCCGAUGCCCACCUCCUUCCCACCUUCCCGCCCUGCUGCUUUGCAGGGUGAGAGAGAGGAGAGAGAGAGAGAGAGAGAGAGAGAGAGAGAGAGAGAGAGAGAGACUCUGGCACAGAUGGAGCCAGUUAGCAGGCCUCCAGGACUUCUGGCUGACAGAGGGACUUCUUGAGCUCAACUCAGCCAGUGUGGGGGCAUCAAAGGCCAGGGACCUGGGGCUGACAGACUGGCUCUUUGGUCUCCAGGAAAAUGCUACCUCUUGAGUUUUCAGAGGUGCCAGAGCCCAUGAGUCUGUGCAUGUUCAGUGGGGCACUCUCUGUUGAGCACUUGCCGCCAGGUAGCAGCCAGCCUUUGACCCCAUGUCACAGUCCCCUCUGGGAUGUUUUGCACUUUCAGGCAGAGUGUGGGUUUCCCUCGGUGUGCCCGUCAGCCAGAUUGUCUUGUUUGUUGGUUCCUUCCUGCACAUACUUGCCUUUCCCUUUGCCCUCAGGCUUUCCACAGAGGCGCAGAAUCCCCAGUUAUUCAUCAUCGUGGUCCACUCUCUUGGAGCCCACUGUUUAGCUCUUUCGUCUAGGAUUUCCCUUUUUCUGGAAUGUUACAGAGCUCCUUUAUGCUCUUUUAUUUUUUUCCUUCUAGUGGUGUAAAUUACAGUUUUGGCCAGCAUGAAAUUUUCAGUGUAGUGUAUUUUCCUCUCCUUUAUGUUCAUAUUUGGCCCCUUUCAAAUAUUAUCCACUCUAAUUUUGAUUUUCUUUUUCUUGGAGAAUAUCCUCUACAUAGUUUAAUCAUAUCUUGUGUUUCUUCCCUCAUGUCUCUGACACUGAAUCGAGGUUAUUUGUGUGCUUUCAUAUUCUCCUAGUUAUUAAGGUUUUUCUUGGUGUUAGCAGUACUUUAGACCCCUUCUUAUCUCUGUGCUUAGGAAACACAGUGCAUUUUGUUCUCUUGUCCAUGCCUCAGGCUCAGUGUCAUGUUUUGUCACUUUGCUGGAUCCUGCUUUCUUUAUGGAUGUUGGAGUUGCCCAAGUGCACAUGCAUGGGGAUGUCUCAGGUCUCUGUUGCAUCCAGCUUGUGUAUGGGUUCAGCCCCACCUCUUUAUUCCCCAUACUGAAUGACUUCUGAUUUUCCUGUCAUCAAACCAUGUUGAUUGGGAGGUAUGUUUUUCUUUUCAGUGCUUUUAUGCUUCCCAAUGAUUGCAUUUCAUCUGGUACUCUGGUGUGUGUUUUGUCAUUGCUCAUUCCCAUGUAGCAGUGUCUGAACCCUUUUUACUGUUUGGAUACUUGUAUGGGCAUAUUUUGCCCAUGAAAUAUACUCCCUGUGCUCUGUUUCUCGGAAUUUGCCUUUUGUGCUGACUCAUUGUGAUGUGCGUGUGGAUCUAUGGUGAGCGUUUCUGUACUCCUUGUGGCCUGGGUGGCUCUCACAUGCGUGCCCUUGGCAUGCCACUGCCUCUAGGCCUCAGGAAGACAGGGAACUUGGGAAGCCUCAUUUGUUCUGGGUGGAUUUGUUUACCUUUGUAAUCUCUGUCCCUUUGUCUGUCAUGUGGAUUGAAGGACCUGCCUUCCUCCCGAAGGGGGCAGUGUUCCUAGACCUCUGUCCUUAUUUACUGGUGAGGUAGAGGCAUUCUGAGUGUUUGUCUAUGCCAUAUCAACCCCAUUCUCUGGGGGUGGAUCCUUGUAUGAUGGGGCUGCUCAGCACCUCUGUAACUGCAGUUUGUUCUGUCUCUGGUCACUCAUCCACUAACCAUGUGCCUGUCAAGAUCCCAGCUCCUCAUCUGCUCACCCUGUGUGAGCCAUUGCCAGGGCAUUGUACAGAUGUGGAAAUGGACCCCUAUGUUGGGAUGUUUCUGAAAUAUACCUAGACUAUGAGCCCCCAUAGUCGAUUCCAAGGCUGGAGAGCUGUGGUCUGAGGGGAAUGUGUAGAGGUCUUCACCCAUACGUGCUGGAUAUUUGGCUUUUGUGUGUUUCUGAGAUGUAGAUGGAUGGAGAGGAAGAUGGUCUUGUGAAAGCAAAUGACUCUAUGACCCCACAUUAAUAGCUGCUGGGCCUGAACCUGCACAGAAUGCCUGGGCUCUUGUACCAUUCCAAAACUAAAGAUUGUGUCAUUCGCAGAUGUGCAGAUGUUCAUGGCUUCCCAUGCAGUGUCUUUUGUUUUCAGUGGCCAAGAACAAUGGGCAAGGCUCCUGGUCCUUUGUAAUUCUUCUACUCUUCCAGAUAAACAGUGGUAUACUCCUUCCUUGGGACUCAGUACCUUAACAUCUCCUGCGACCUAGGUCAAAUUCUCAGUGAAGAAUGCUAUUUGAGGGUUGUUUGACACAGACCUUUCCCCAUAGACAUGUCUUAAUUACCGACAUAUUUACUUAUUUUCUGUUUAAAAUCAAGCAUACAUGCAAUUAAUGCACUCAGGGGUCUGUUGCAAAAGAAUAGUGAGUUCAAUGCCACCAUGGGAUACAUAGUAAGUUUUUGUCUCAAUAAAACAAAAACAAAUGAAAACAAAUUACUUCCCAUUUUCUUGGAGCUGCUAUAAUUCAUUUGGUUUUGUAAUGGUCUUUCCCCCCCCCCUUUUUUUUAACCAUAUCAUCUUAUUUUAUGUUUGUAUGUUGGCCUAAUCAUCACUGUGCUUCCUAGUAUAAGUUCUUACAUUUGGGAGUUACUAAUCUAAUGGCUUUCACACUCACGUGAAAAGUAUAAUUUUUUUUCCAGUUUCUCAGAAUCCAUACUGUGACUUUUUAAAAAAGCUAUUAUUUGUUGCUCCAAAAACAGGAGAGUCCAUAAUCACCUUGAAUACAAGCUUUUUGUUUUUGUUAUUCCAGUUUCCUGUUAGGUUGAUAUAUCUGAGACAUGAAGGAGAAAAUGAACAUGGCUUAUUGGCCACAGACUUUAAUGUCUCUUCCACUUGCAGAGUGGAUAUCCAUGCCUUUCUAUUGUCUUUUUUGUAUGUGGUUUUUGUUUUGUUGUUUGUUUGUUUGUUUGUUUGUUUGAGACAGGAUCUCACUAUGUAGUUCAUGCUGGCCCUGAAUUCACUGUGUAGCCCUAGAUUCUCCUCCUCCUUUAUGGGAACAUCAUUCUUACAUGGGUUGUAUCUCUAGGAGUCCUCAUAAGUUCUGGGAGUGAAAUUGUAAAAACAACUGCUACUUCUGUCAGGGAAAGAAUCAACAUGACCAUUUUGAAAUAUAUCCAGAGAAACACGUUUCUCUUAACAAGUGCAAACAUCAAAAGAAAUUAUUUACCUGGAGUCUAACUAAUUUGGAUUUUAUCACAAUGAACUGACCUGAGGAAGCGAUAUGCCCAACUCCAGCCUACUGUGGUCUUCUCCAUGGGGAAAUGAGAAUACUCAAUCCAGCCCACUGUACCCUAGAGUGUGAGUGAAGGGAAAUACUUAAGUAUAGCCCCUCCUCCCAGCCUUUCAAUCUCUCUAAGUGGGUGUGGGAGAAGCUGAUAAGCCCCUUUGAUGAUCAUAGUCCAAAAGCAUAGGCUGGUUAACAGAUUUAUACAUAAUAGCAGAAAUAUAGAAAGCUUUCCUCAACAUCUGGGCUCCUUUAUAAUAAUGGGAAUACAAUGGAAAGACUUGUAUACUUCAGAUAUUUAAGAAGUCUGUAGCAAAACCCAAGGACAACAAAAAAGAUAAGAACAGGCUGGGGAUGUAGCUCAGUGGUGCCACCACCUGCCUUGCAAGUGCAAGGUCCCGAGUUUGAUCCCCAGUACCAAAAAAAAAAAAAAAAAGAUAAGGACAAGAACACCAGAGGACAUUUUAGCUAUGAAAGAGCUCUUGAAAACAGUAAAUAUAGCCUAAUCCUUAGUCACAUAAACAUAAUACACAAUCUAGUUGACUUAGUCAUUUUACCUAGUAUAUCAUUGUGCCUUCAACAGCAAUAAAAAUAAAAUACAAGGCAUACAAAGACAAAAUUAAAACACACACUUACAGACCAAGCAUCUGUGUCAGGUUCAAAUAUAGUAUACUCCAGAAUCAUUGGAAUGGUUAUGCCAUAUGAAUAUAAAACAAGAUGAUAAAUAUGUUAAGGGAUCUAAAAGAGAAAAUGACCAAUAUUCAAGAACAUAUAAGUAAUGUAGGCAGAGUGAUAGAAAUUCUAAGACUCAAAAGUAAAAGCUAGAGGUAAAAAACACCAUAGAAAAAUGGCGAACUCCUUUAAUGUGCUCAUUAAUAUACUGGAGAUGGCUAAAGAUUCAGGAAACUUGAAAAAAUAUCAAUAGGAACUUCCCAAACUGAAAUACAAAGAAAGAAAAGGAAUAAAAAAGAAAUGACUAUUCAAGAACUAUGAGACAAUUACAGUAGGUGUGACCAGUGCACAAUGGGAACACCAGAAACAAAGACAAAAAGAAGAAAUAUUUAACACAAUAAUGAGUAAGAAUUUCUGCUGUAUCUAAAUGUGGACAGCAAGAUGAUCCCUCAGGAAUAGUGUGUUUGGGAGCAAGGUUGGAAUGCCUGCUUUGGUGCUGUUCCAAUGUCUCUUCUUUACCCCCCUCCCUGCCCUAGAGCACACUGGUCACAACCACUGCUCAUUCCUGUAAUUCACUGAGCCACAGCUCUCUGUCUGGUGGCAGGUUCCUGUUUAAAACUUAUGACGAUCAAACCAACAUUGCAGAAAGUAUCCAAAAUAAUCAUAUAGAAAGUGAGGCUAACAUUGCUAAAGAAACUAAAGGAGAGAAUAUCUCUAACUGCAUGAGUAGUAAAACAAAAGGGAAAAAUAAUCAACAAUGGAAAAAUAAUGUAAAGAUAGGAUUCAGUAAAUACCUCAGUGUAAGUGGUCUUAACUCUAAUCAAAAGUCAGAGUUGCAAAUUAAAAAGCAAAUCCCAACUGUAUGUUUCCUACAAGAGACACAGCUCAUCCACAAAGAAACAGACUGAAAACAGGAGCCUGAAGGCAAGCAGGACUAGCUAUCCUAUUUGCAGACAAAGUGGACUUCAACCCAAAACUGAUCAAGAAACAAAGCAGGUCACUAUAUCCUGGUAAAGGGAACAAUUCAGCAGAAAGAAAUAACAAUUGUAAAUAUAUAUGCACCAGAGGCUGGUAUACCCAAUUUCAUAAGACACAUAUUACUAGGCAUAGAAGGUCAGACAAACAACAAUGCAGUCAUAAUGAAGGACUUCAAUACCCUACUCUCACAAUUAGGUCAACAAAGGGGUAGGGGUGUUGGGAGGGGAAGGGGAAAGGAAAGGAGGGAAAGGAAACAUUAUGAGUAAAGAAAAAAAAUGGAAACAAAGUCUAUGUAAAUAGGGAAGGGUGGAGGGGGUGAAGGGCUCACAGGUAAUGGGGAAAGAAAUAAGAACCAAGAUACAUCAUGUACAGGUACAAGCACCCAAUGAUAAAUGUAAAUGUAUUGUUUACCUAAAAUGUACUAAUAAAAGAAUUUAAGGGAAAAAAAAGAAAUAACAGAGUGAAACAACACUAUUGAACAAAUUGACUUAAUAUAGAUGUUUUCAUUCAACAAAAACAGAACACACUUUUCUCAACAGUACAUGGAACUUUCUUCAAAAUAGAUAACAUCUUAGGCCAUAAACCAUGCUUAAGUAGACACAACACAUUUGAAUGAAACUAGAAAUCAACAGCAAAAUAAACCACAGAAAUUACAUAAACAUAUGGAGAUUAUAAUACACUUGAAUAAUAAAUGGAUUGCUGAAGAAAUUAAAAAUUUCCUAGAAUCAAAUGGCAAUGCAGCACAACAUUCCAGAACCUACUGGACAGAAUAAAAAUGGUUCUAAGAAGGAAGUUUAUAGCUGUGAAUGCCAAUAAUAGAAAAAUAGAGCAAUCUCAAAUAAAUGAUAUACCUUAAGAUCCUAGAAAACCAAGACCAAUCAAACUCCAAAACCUGCAGAAGGACAGAAAUUACAAAGUUAAGAGUGAAAAUUAAGAAAACUGGGACUAAAAAAGCAAUACAAAUGAUCAAUUAAUCAGAGUUGGUUCUUUGAAAGGCUAAACAAAAUUGAUAUGAUGCUUAGCCUAACUUACCAAAAGAAAGAAAAGACUUUUAUCAAUCUAAUUAGAAAUGAAAAAGGAAAAAUAGCAGUGGACACCACCAAAAUCCAGAGGUAAUAAGAAAUUACAUCAGAAAUUUAUAUUCCAAUAAACUGAAGAACCUGGAAGAAAUGGAUAAAUUGCUAGGAACAUAUGAAUUAUCAAACCUGAACCAAGAAAGGCUGGAUGUGGUGGUGCAUGCCUGUAAUCCCAGUACUUGGGAGGCUGAGGCAGAGGACCACUCCAAGUUCAAGGCCAGCCUAGGCUACUUAGUGAAUUCAAGGCCAGUCUGUACUAUAUGGCAAGAUCCUGUCUCAAGAAACCAAAACAAAAAUACCAAACCAAACCAAAACAAAUUAACCUGAACCAAGAAGAUAUAAAAAACCCAAAGAGAUGAAUAAUAGGCAAUAAUAUAGGGGCACUAAUAAAAUCACUACCAAACAAGAAAAGCCCAGGACCCAGUGUGUUCCCCACAGUAUUUUACCAGAACUUCAGGGAAGAUCUAAUGCCAUAGUCUCCAAAAUCUUCCAUGAAAUUAAAGGAAAGGAACACUACUAAAUCCAAUCCCGGAAGCUAACAUCCUGAUACCAAAACCAGAUAAGGAAUCAACAAAUAAAAAUAACUAUAGGCCAAUUUCCUUAAUGAACAUAGAUGCAAAAAUCCUCAGCAAGAUACAGAAUGUGAGUAGAAUGCAGCUAAUCACUAAAAAGAUCAUAUAUUAUGACCAAGUCAGUUCAUUACAGUGAUGCAAGUAUGAUCCAACAUGCAUAAAUCAGUAAAUAUACCACAUAAACAGAAGUAAGGGCAGAAAUCACACGAUCAUCUCAAAUGCAGAAAAACCUCUGAUAAAAUACUCAUCCAUUCAUGAUUAAAAACAAAACAAAACAGGGUUGGAGAUUUGGCUUAGUAGUGUUGCUGCCUGCCUCAAAAGCCCAAGGUCCUAAGUUCCAUCCCCGAUAUGGGGAAAAAAAAUUAGUUACAAAAACAAAACAAAACAAAACAGCAAACUUGACCAAAAUAGGUGUAGGUGUAGUAGGACUUUACCUGCAAUGUUAAAAAAACAAAUCAGUCAUGAAAAAUCCACUGUCAACAUCAUACCAAAUGAGGAAAAACUAAAAACAUUCCCUCUAAAAUCAAGAGUGAGGCUAAGGUGUCAACUCUCACCACUCCUGUCCACUAUAGUAUUCAGAACUCAGCCAGAGCAGUCAGGCAAAGGAAAGAAAUAAAAGGGAUUCAAAUAGGAAAAAAAGUCUAAUCUUAUUUCUAGAUGACAUGAUACUUUCAUAGAAGAUUAAAAAAAACCUGUAUCCUCAAAACAACUUUAGCAAAGUGGCAAGAUACAAAAUAAAUAUACAAAAAUCAGCAGGGUUUCUACACACAAACAAUGAAACCACUGAGAAAGAAACCAGGAAAACAAUUCCAUUUACAAUAGUCUCAAAAGAAAUACUUAAGAAUUAACCUAACCAAGAAAGUCAGUGACUUCUAUAAUGAAAACUUCAGUACUCUGAAUAAAAGAGAUUGAAUAGGACAUUAGACAAUAGAAAGACAUGCAGUGUUCCUAGAUGGACAGAAAAAAUAUUGUCAAAAUGGCCAUAUUACCAACAAUGAUAUACAGAUCUAAUGCAAUUCCAAUCAAAAUACCAACAUCACUUUUCACAGAACUAGAAAAAAACAAUUUUAAAAUUUGUUUGAAACCAGAAGAGACUCAGAACAGGCAAAACAAUUCUGAGCAACAAGAUCCAGAAAAGGCAAAGCAAUUCUGGACAACAAGACCAAAACAGGUCUAUUUAUCUCAAUUGCCCAUUUCUUGACUGAGUUUUUUUGGGGGGGAGGGUGACUCUAAUUUUUUUUAGUUCCUUAUAUAUAGUAGAAAUUAGUCCUCUGUUAGAGGAGUAGCUGGCAAAACUGUUUCUCAUUCUGUAGGUUGUCUCUUCACUCUGUUGUUUCUUUUGCCAUGCAGAUGCUUUUUAAUUUGAUAUAAUCCCAUUUGUUGAUUCUUGUUAUUUCUUAUGCAAUUGGAUUCUGUUCAGAAAGUCUUUGCCUAUGCCUAUGUCUUUGAGCAUUUUACCUGUUUAGUCCAAUAGAUCAAGUAUUUCUGUUUUAAUAUUUAGAUCUUUCAUCCAUUUUUAUUUUAGUACAUGGUGAGAUAUAUGGGUCUAGUUUCAGUCUUCUGCACAUGUAUAGCCAGUUUUCCAGCAUCAUUUGUUACAGGCUAUCUUUGUCCAGUGUAUGUUUUUGGCUCCUUUGUCAAACAUCAGAUGACUGAAUGUGCUCAGGGUUGUUUCUGCAUCCUCUAUUAUGUCCACUGAUCCACAUCUGUCUUUUAUGCUAAUAAUCAUGGUGUUUUUAAUCACUGUAACUUUGUAAUAUAAUUUAAAAUUUGGAAUUGUGAUACCUCCUUCUUUGCCCUUGUUCCCCAGGAUUGCUUUUGCUAUUCUGGGUCUCUUCUGAUUCCAUAUGAAUUUUAUGAUUGUUUUUACUAGUUCCAUAUGGAAUAGUGUUGGUGUUUUUGAUUGGGCUUGCAUUAAAGCUAUAUAUCAGUUUUGGUAGUAUGGCCAUUUUGACAAUAUUGAGUUUGUCUAUAAAAUAACAGGGAUAUUUUUCCAUUUCCUGGUUCCUCUUUAAUCCCUUUUUUCAGAGUUCUAUAGUUUUCAUUAGAGAGAUGCUUCACUUUUUGUCAGGUUAAUUUUUAUUUAUUUAAGUUUUUUGUAAACUAUUGUGAAUGGUAUUAAUUUCCUAAUUUCUUUCUCAGUGGAUUCCUUAUUGGUGUACAGGAAUACUAUUGAUUUUUGUGUGUAAAUUUUGUAUCCUGCUACCUUGCCAGAUUUGGUUAUUAGUUUUAGCAUUCUUUCAGUGGAACUUUUUGGGUUUUCUAUGUAAAAGAUCAUGUUGUCUGUGAUUAGGGAUAGUUUGACUUCUACCAUUGCUACCAUUGUAUACCUUUUUAUAUCUUUCUCUUGCCUGGUGGCUCUGGCCAAUGUUUCAAGUACUAUAUUGAGUAGUAGUGAUAAUAGUGGACAUCCUUUUCUUGUCCUGAUUUUAGGGGAAAAGUGUUCAGUUUUUACCCAUUUAAUAUGAUGUUGGCAGUAAUUUUGUCAUAAAUGGCUUUUAUCUGAUUGAAAUAAAGUCCUUCUAUAUCUAAUUUCUUAGAGUUUUUUUUUUGUCAUGAAUGAAUGUUGGAUUUUGUCAAAGGGUUUUUCUGCAUUUAUUGAGAUGAUCAUGUGAUUUUUGUCCUUCUGUUUAUGUGUUGUAUUAUAUUGAUUUGUAUAUAUUGAACCAUCCUUGCAUUACUGGGAUAAAGCUUACUUGGUCAUGAGGUAUGAUCUUUUUAAUGAUUUGUUACAUUCUGCUUGUCAGUAUCUUGUUAAGGAUUUUAGCAUUUACGUUCAUUAAAGAGACUAGCCUGUAGUUUUCUUUUUCAGUUGAGUCCUGUUGGUUUCAGAAUCAAGGUAAUAUUAGCUUUCAGGACUGAGUUUGGUGAUAUUCCUUGCCUUUCAAUUUCAUUAGUUUGAGGAGUAUUGGGGAUAGAUUUUUGCUGCAUUUCUUGUAGAAUUGAGUGGUGGAUCCAUCAGGUACUUGGCUUUUCUUACUUGGUAGGGUUUUUAUUACUGCCUCAACUACUCGGUAUUGGAUUAUUUAGCAUUUUUAUAUUUUUUUUGGUUCUGUUUUAGUAAUUCAUAUGUUUCAAGAUAUCUAUCCAUUUCUUCUGUAUUCUCCAAUUUUUUGGAGUACAUAGGUUUUUGUAGCAGAUAAUCUGGAUUUUGGCAUUAUUUGCUGUGAUUUCACCAUUUUUAUUUCUAAUGCAUUGACUGUGGGUCUUUGCCUGCCCCCCCCCCCUUUGGUAAAGUUAGCUAAGGGUUUAUCUAUUUUUUUCAUUACUUUGAAGAUCCAGGUCUUUGAUUCAUUGAUUUUUAUUGAGAUAACAAAAGACCCAGAGUGAGUGGCUCUUGCCUUUUCUGGAAUAAUCUAAUUUGGGUUUAAGAGAAAGAAAUCUUUGGGAGGAGUUCUAGUUUUUUCUUCUAUUGAUAAAUGCUUGUGUGGUUAAUAUUUUUAAAUAUUCUUAAACACUUUAAAAUUACUAAUUAUAUCUACUGUUUUAAAAAUUCUUUUUUAUUUGUGGUUUGAUCUUUCUUUUUCUUGUGAUUUGCUUGGGGAUUUCUCUAAUCUGCCUAUUAAUUUAUAAGGAUUAUGGUUUCUGUUUUCAGAUUUUUAUUAGAAUAAGAUUUGAGAUGGAUUAGUACUGAGCUUUUUGUGAGGAUAGUGAGGAAAAAAUUAUUUUCCUGGUUUACCAUAGGUAAAUGUGGGCUGGAACAGAACAAUGGCUUAAUUAUAUGCCAUCUGCAUCCAUCUAUCUAUCUUAGUAUCUAUCUCUAAUGUACAUACAUAUUCCUCUGUGUGUAUGUUUUAUAUAUCAUAAAUAUUAUCUUGGCUCUUCAGAUAUCUUGAUAUCUGGAAAGAUUCUAAUUAGAAACAAGUUUCUUAAUAUGAUUUGAGUUUUUACCUAACCAACAAUAAUUUUUUAUAAUUAGUUCAUUUGACUGAGAUGGUAGUUAAUAUUUUACAGGUAAUAUUCCUGUAUAUAUGUAUUAUACUUACAGAUUUCUCAUUUUUAAUUAUUUCCUGUUGAUAUAUGUCACCCUUGCAAAUAAUAGUAUAUUAAGGAGAUAUUGAGUAUUGGGAAAAUAAGAUCAGGAAAAUAAGAAAAACAUUAUUUCAUUGGGACAUACUCUGGUUUCUCUUCAGAUCACAUAAAUCUUUUGUUUUAUUUCAUUGGGAGAUUUUACAUAGCUUCUGAAAGGAAAUGCAUUUUGUAUAAUAGUAAUGAAGGACUGAGUUUCAUAAAAAUUCUAGAUAUUUAGGCGUACUUUGAGGUUAAUGAUGGCAAGAAUUCAUGAAAUAAAAUCAGCUGGUCUGGAUGUGGACUGUGUUGAAAUAAGGUAGUUCCUGGUCAGAUAAAGCAGAAUGAUAUAUAGUUCUAACAUGAACAUGUACCUGCCCUGGACAGGGACUACAAGCCAAUCAGAUGGAAAGAGUAUCAUGUCGUACACUGCUGUGGGGUAGAGCUAAACACACUUUAGUAAUCUUUUAAAUGAUAUAACCCAAGUUCACAGUUAACUCCUGGUUCUCUGUUUCUACAAUACAGUCAAUAUAUCAGCAUAGACAACUGUCUCCCUGGCAUAUUACUUCAUGUAUUACUCUACACAGAAUGAUCCUGGAAGACUUCUAGAGUUGCCAUUAGAGCCAGCAGUUCUAAAGUCAAACCAAAUGUCCAAUUUAAGCUGCUACAUGAGAUAAGCUGGUGAUAAACUGUUAGGAGUAUUAGUGCGAUGUGAGGAGUGUUUCUUUAUUGGUAGUGAAGUUGUCUGGAUUGAACAUAAGCACAAGUAUCUGAGGAUGCCUACAUCUAGCUGACUGGCUAUCUGAUAGGAUCAAUGGCAUCUUCAAACCUGGCUCAGCUGAUGCCUUCCUCAAUGGUCCCAUAAUGUCACUAUCAUGUACCUUCCUUUUUUUUUUUUUUUACAUCACAGGGUAUUUCUUUAUUGGCUGAAUAUAACUUUCACAAUUUCCUAUUCAUGAAACAAGUGUUGUGUCACUUAUUGAAUAGUUUCACAAAGAGCAUUAUUGGCUAUUUUCUGAAAAAAAAAUCAGAGAAGCCGGGCGUGGUGGCACAUGCUUGUGAUCCCAGCACGCAGGAGGCAGAGGCAGGAGGAUCUCUGUGAGUUUGAGGCCAGCCUGGGGUACAUAGUGAGUUCACUGCCAGCCUAAACUACAAAGCGAGACCCUGUCUCAAAAAAAAAAAAAAAUCAGGGAGGAAACAAGUGAAUAAAUGAAAACAAAAAAAAAAAGCAACUGUGAUGUUUGUGGCAAUGACUGGAAGUGCUGGGAUGCUCUGAUGAUAGAUAAGGAGACUCAUGUUGUGCUUUAUUUUUAAUUAGAUUGGCACAGCAGAGCUAACUUAUUUUCGUUGCUAUUUUGCUGCAGAUUAAGAGCUAAAACAACUUACCCUACUUCAGGAAAGAGAGGUAAACAACUAUGUGCUCUUGAAAUUCUUUGUGUAUUCUGUGGUCAGUGAUGUCAGCACUUCAAAGUCUGUGAACUCAUUAUUAGUGAAGCUCAAAGGAGAUUAUUUUUAUGACAGAUACAUUUUUUCCCACAAGUGCCCUUGCUUGUUUAAGGAAACUUCAUUUUUCCUUUUCCUUUUUUAGAACAAUCCAAGUCACAUGUUUUUAUACUACACGUGUGACAGUUUCAUUAAUCAGAUAAUAAGCAAAAUGUCUCCUGCACAUUUACUGCUCUUCAGUCACAGUGCAGUAGAGCAGGCUGCACAAAAUAAGCCUGGCUUGGGAGGCCCCUCUUUGUCGGGAGGGUGCUUGUGUGGAUCGAUGAAGAGAACAAUUCCCUGAGGACGCUGAGGGACUGAUUUUAGAUGUCAAUCUGAGGUCCAGAUGAGUGGCCCCCUGACAGGACAAAUAAGGGUCUCCAUGCCAGCCUUUAGUUGGUGACCAUUCAGUGACACCAUGAAGACCUUUAAGACCCCUGGAUGGGCCUUUUCUUUCUCUCAUCACAAGCAAUAGCAUAUCUUAUGAGACAAUAUAUACCUUUAAUAUGCUCAGUAUUUCAAGGCUUUCUUCCCCUUCCCCUUUGAACAGAGAGUUAUAGAUACUUGUACAUGGGAAAUAAUGUUUUGGAUAACAAGUGAGGAAACUGAAAAGGUUAAAUUUAAAAAGGGGCAAAUAACUGUGAUAUGUACCGAAAGUCCCAUUAGCAUUGCUAAAAGAAGGGAACCCUGUCUGCCUAUAUUAAAUGACGAUGAAACCUAUUUUAGUGCUUUGUUUUGCUUACUGUUGAGCACUUUGUAAGGGUUUGUCUUUGCUUUUCUGUCAUGUUUCGCUGAGACAGAAGGGUCAGAAUCUGAUGCUCCACUUCAGAGAUAGGGGUAAGUAACUAACCCAGUAUCCUUUCAAAUUUAUAUGUUGUGUACCGUGCGCUAGGUUCUGAGGUCUCCGUUUAUCUUUUCAGAGUUAUUUGAAAAUACUGUUACGAUGUGUCCUUUGCCUCUUUCAGCCUUUCACCAAGGUCACAGAAAUUAUUUAAUCUCUAUCAUUGUUUCUUCCAUUUUAACUUUUUCCUGAUUUUAUGGCAAAUGCAGAAUUUAAAAGAAUCAUUUGAACAAUUUCACGUUGGAUAAAACCUGUUAUGAUGAUGUCUGGUUGUGCCAAAACUUGAUCAAGCUUUCCUCAUUUGUUUAAUUACUGCAGUUUCAGAACAGAGAAACCAUAAGGUCUUUGUGGUCGCACUGUAUUUCUGCUUCAAGUUCAAUCAUUAAAUAUUGAUUUGAAUUAGUUUCUCAUUUUUGCAACAUGGGCAAUUAUAUAUGAAAUUUUGAUCUCAGCAUAGGUGAGACAGUCAUAGAAAUAAGACAUUUGGAUGGUUUCUGGAGUGCUUUAAUAUAUCUUAGUCUCUAUUUUGAUUACUUGCUGUGUUUGGAUGGUGCAGAUUUAUUGAGCUGUACAAUUAUAGUGCAUAUACUUUUUCAGUAUUUUAUACUUCAAUAGAAAUUUUAAAAUGUCAUGAAGAGAAUCCAAAUAUUGGUUAAGAUACUUUUUAACAAUAUUGUCCAUUAGAUUAUGUGUUAUUUGCUGCAAAAUGAUCAAUGUCCUCAUAAUAGUCCAACUGUGUUGUCUAACAUAAGCAUAUUUACAAAACUGUACUAUGAAGUAUUUUUUAAUUUCAUCACAUGCGUAUGUUUUUCCAUGCUUAUGCCUAAAUUCUUUUACUUAUACCUUUUUUCUGCUAUCAGAAUCAGUGUGAUUGUUUUCUUACUACAUGCAAAGAUGUUACUCAUAGGUCUUAGGAACAAUAAAAACCUACACGCAUUGCACAGUGGAAAAAUUCAGGAAAUUUUAUUGAAAUGAAUUAAAACAUAAAGCCACAGUCAGAAUAAUAAACUGCUUGGAUUUGCAAGUCCUUCUUACCUUUUGAGAUCCUGAUACUGACUACACUCUGUGUUUCAAUUUUUAAUUCUACUUCUUCAAGUUUCUCUACUUUAGUGUAAGAUCAGAAAGUUGUAGCUGUCAAUUACUGUCACUGCUUCACUCAAGAAAUUCUAAUGAUAGAGACUAUAAGAUGAUUUACAACAGAUGUGUUUUUGAUAUUUCUUCCAUGCUUUCCAGAGGUAAAAUAUUUAGUUAUUUGCCCUACCUUAGGAAAUACAUUUUUUAUAUUGGUGGAAGUACCUGUCAAUUUGUGUAUCUAAAAUUUUCUAACAUAAAAAUCCAUUUCAUCAUAAAGGAGGUAUUAAAUAUAUAUGACAUUUUGGUAGCAAUAAUAUUGUAGAAUCUCCUGAAGUUAUACAUGUCCUAGGUCUCUAUGUCCAAAACAAUAGAUAAAUCAAGGACCCUGGUGGAUGUGAAGGACACCAUAUUUAAUUUAGCCAUUCCUUAUUUCCAGAACAAUGGUUGUUAAACAUUUUUUACUAUUGCAAAUAGCAUACGUUUGUCAUUACAAACCAGUAUUUAUGCAUUCAUGCUUCUGUUGCUGUGGGAAAUUAUUUCUAGAAACAGUAAUGCUUAAAAGUAAGGUGCAUGAAAUUUGUUUUAGUGAGAUGUAGUCAAAUCACCACUCAAAUAUUCAGGUCACUAUUGUUUCAGUAAUGUACUGGAAUGUUGAGAUAGAUUUAUAUUUUAUGUAUUUAAGGCACCAAAAAAUGUUACUAUUUAAUAUAUUUUUGUGGGGGUUUUGUUUUUGUUUUUUUGAGACAGAAUCUCACUUUGUAGUUUAGAUUGGCCUUGAACUUGCUAUAUAGCCCAGGGUGGCCUUGAACCUGAAUCCAUCCUCCUGCCUCAACCUCCCAAGUAGAAAAUAUCUUCUUAAGUGAUAUAUUUAACACUACUAAAAUAAAUUGUAGUUAAUAUAAUUAAAACUGGUAGUGCUUUAAAAAAUAUAUGCCCUUAGAGUAGUAUUUACCACUAACAGUCAUACCCAUUAAUUCCAGCAGCUUUACUACUCCUAAGUGCAAAGCAAAAUUGAAUACUAAGAUUCAGAAGUUCUGAAAGAGCACUGUCUGGGUAGGCUAAACUUAUACCUUCAAUAAUAAUAAUAUUUAUAAAGCACAAUUCAUAAAUCAGUAAUUUAAUUUUUGUGAUAGUCAAUGAAAAGAGGACAGGGACAGAAAAUUUGAGUGUAAUGAUAAAGUAGUGUUAACAUGAAGUUAGUCAAGGUAGCCUUCAUAGUAUGAACUUGGAAAAAAUUAGCAGGACAGUUCUCUGAAAUAUCUUUCAAAUUUUAAUAUUUUAAUAUAUAUAUUUAAAAUUCUAGUGUUAUAUUUUCUUUCCACAUUAUUUGAACAGAUUAAUAUUUAGUGUAUGGGAGAUAUUUCCCCUUCUUUAUCCUUAGUGCCAAUAAUACAUGCUUGAGAAUGAACAAAUAAGAAAAUAAGUGUAAAGCCACAAAUGAAGGUCUCAGGUUGAAAUAGCCAUAUAUAGGUCACAGGAUUUAAAUGUAGCACAGUGUUUGCUUAGCUUUACAGAAGUGUGCUGAGUGGUAUACACAACAUGGGCAUUAUCAUCAUGUCAUUAAAAGUUCCAAUAGGUGCUGAACCUCAUACUUUAUAUCAACAACCCUAUAAACGUUUUAUGGUUUAUUCAGAUGAGACCUGAGGGGUGUGUAUGUGCGUGUGUGUGUGUGUUCUUGACACAGAGCAGCAAGAACGUCGGGUGGCCAGUGUGCUUUGAUAUGGUCACAGCCGUGCAGAAACCACGGCACCCAGCUUUGAGAUAAGGACACAGAUCAAGUUCAGAAAACAUGGAGGUCCAAGCCUCUGUACGCAGUAUCUCACUGUAAUCUUAUGUCACUCACCUCUGUGUAUGCAGUUUGUGUGAAGACAACCCAAGAUCAUUUUGGGGCAAGCCUGUAUGAGUAGUAAAAUUGUUAUUUAUUUACUUACCAUAAAAUGAUAAUCAGAUUAAGAGACUGUGGCACAGUGGUCGUGGUGGAAUACGGAUUGCAAGCUGGAAAGAAGAGAACUUGCUGAAAAAGAAACUCAGUUUCCUGGAGUUUAUGAAGAAAUAUGAAGCCAAUGGCCAGCUAAUGGAGCCUUUUAUAAGAAAUGCUACGCAAAGCUCCAAAGGUGCAUUAAGAGGAUCAUGGAGUUGAGUUACCCUUGCCCAGUGGGAAGAAGGUACAGGAGUAUCUGAAUGGAACAAAAAGCUACUUCCAAGACAGGUCUUCUCAUGCAGGAACAAUUCUUGUACUACCUUUUACUGGAAAAUAAUCUGGAAAUCUGGCUUUGCAAUCAUAAUUUCAUGUAUACAUUCAUUCAAUAAACAUACUGGGCACUGAGAUGAAAAUAAAACAAGCAAAUUC